rnacentral:rRNA from 1 species
GAUGAACGCUGGCGGCGUGCCUAAUACAUGCAAGUCGAGCGAACGGACGAGAAGCUUGCUUCUCUGAUGUUAGCGGCGGACGGGUGAGUAACACGUGGAUAACCUACCUAUAAGACUGGGAUAACUUCGGGAAACCGGAGCUAAUACCGGAUGAUAUUUUGAACCGCAUGGUUCAAAAGUGAAAGACGGUCUUGCUGCCACUUAUAGAUGGAUCCGCGCUGCAUUAGCUAGUUGGUAAGGUAACGGCUUACCAAGGCAACGAUGCAUAGCCGACCUGAGAGGGUGAUCGGCCACACUGGAAUUGAGACACGGUCCAGACUCCUACGGGAGGCAGCAGUAGGGAAUCUUCCGCAAUGGGCGAAAGCCUGACGGAGCAACGCCGCGUGAGUGAUGAAGGUCUUCGGAUCGUAAAACUCUGUUAUUAGGGAAGAACAUAUGUGUAAGUAACUGUGCACAUCUUGACGGUACCUAAUCAGAAAGCCACGGCUAACUACGUG